CCUCCAUGUGCAUGUUAUUAAGCUUGUAUUUUUCUCUUAUUAACUGGUCUGACGAUGUGAAUUUGUUUGUCUAGUCCCAGAAGCACCCAAACGAGAUGGGUAGACUCUUCCCUGCACCUGGACAAGUCUGUUUAGGAAGAUUCAGUCCAGAGUAAAAUCAAAAGAGGAGACCUAACCGUUACUCACACCUGUAAGCCUGUAACCUUCAGCCUAGUCCCACCCUGCACAGGAGCCCGGUGAAAUGGCAGGUUCUGAAGUCCUGAAGUUCUGAAGUGCCACAGAAGGUAGUAAAUCCAUGCAGAACUUUGAACUGAGAGUUACUGAUAGGAAAGCAAGUAUCUACUUUAUGUUAAGAGAGAAUUAGCUGAGAGUUCAAACCAAAACAAUGAACAUGUUUAAUCAGUAAGCAGCAUUUCUGAAAUCAUGAAAGAUGACUGUUGGAUCAGUGAAAAGCAGAAUAUUGGUCCAAGACAUUUUCAUAUUGGUUUGUUUGUUUGCUUGAUUUUUAACCAUAGUACUAUUCAGCUCUGGGUUAUAGUUGUGCUAGAGGUUGAACUUGGGACUUUCAUGCCUCAGGCAUGAAA